rnacentral:rRNA from 1 species
CCUACGGGGGGCAGCAGUGAGGAAUAUUGGUCAAUGGGCGCGAGUCUGAACCAGCCAAGUAGCGUGAAGGAUGACUGCCCUACGGGUUGUAAACUUCUUUUAUAAAGGAAUAAAGUGAGGCACGUGUGCCUUUUUGUAUGUACUUUAUGAAUAAGGAUCGGCUAACUCCGUGCCAGCAGCCGCGGUAAUACGGAGGAUCCGAGCGUUAUCCGGAUUUAUUGGGUUUAACGGGAGCGUAGAUGGGUUGUUAAGGCAGUUGUGAAAGUUUGCGGCUCAACCGUAAAAUUGCAAUUGAUACUGGCAGUCUUGCGUACAGUUGCGGUCGGCGCAAUUCGUGUUGUAGCGGUU